rnacentral:lncRNA from 1 species
GUCGUUGAAAGUUGCCUAAAUUUGGUUUAAUUCUUCAUGAAAAAACACAUUUGUGUGCAUCUUCUUUAUAUUAUAACAUCAGACUUGGACUUAUCUUGAACUAAAAUUUAAUGUGCGUAUUGUUGUGCCGCGUGUACUUUUCUGCAUUGGCUAGAGGUAUAGGGGGAGGGUUGAUAUCUCAUACACAUGUUUAACCCCGUCGCAGUUUUGCGCCUGUCCCAAGUCAGGAGCCUCUGGCCUUUGUUAGUCUUGUAUUAUUUAAACUUUUAGUUUCCUGUGUACAAUUUGUAGGUUUAGUAUGGCGUUUAUGAUCACUGAACUAAUAUAUAUAUUUGUUUAGGGGCCAGCUGAAGGACGCCUACGGGUGCGGGAAUUUAUCGCUACAUUGAAGACCUGUUGCUGUUGUCUGCCGUAUGAUCGGGUUGUUGUCACUCUUUGACACAUUUCCCGUUUCCAUUCUUAAUUUUAUACAAACAAAUUAUGAAAUAGAACUUUGAAAUAAAUUGAGGGAAGCUAGGUUUUAUAAUAUGUUUUACGAAGAAUAAAAAGAAAAAUAGUGUUAACGUUUUUGUUUCUUGUUACAAAU